UGAGUAACACGUGGGCAAUCUGCCCUGCACUUCGGGAUAAGCCUGGGAAACUGGGUCUAAUACCGGAUAGGACCUUUAGGCGCAUGCCUUUUGGUGGAAAGCUUUUGCGGUGUGGGAUGGGCCCGCGGCCUAUCAGCUUGUUGGUGGGGUGAUGGCCUACCAAGGCGACGACGGGUAGCCGGCCUGAGAGGGUGUCCGGCCACACUGGGACUGAGAUACGGCCCAGACUCCUACGGGAGGCAGCAGUGGGGAAUAUUGCACAAUGGGCGCAAGCCUGAUGCAGCGACGCCGCGUGGGGGAUGACGGCCUUCGGGUUGUAAACCUCUUUCACCAUCGACGAAGGUCCGGGUUUUCUCGGAUUGACGGUAGGUGGAGAAGAAGCACCGGCCAACUACGUGCCAGCAGCCGCGGUAAUACGUAGGGUGCGAGCGUUGUCCGGAAUUACUGGGCGUAAAGAGCUCGUAGGUGGUUUGUCGCGUUGUUCGUGAAAUCUCACGGCUUAACUGUGAGCGUGCGGGCGAUACGGGCAGACUAGAGUACUGCAGGGGAGACUGGAAUUCCUGGUGUAGCGGUGGAAUGCGCAGAUAUCAGGAGGAACACCGGUGGCGAAGGCGGGUCUCUGGGCAGUAACUGACGCUGAGGAGCGAAAGCGUGGGGAGCGAACAGGAUUAGAUACCCUGGUAGUCCACGCCGUAAACGGUGGGUACUAGGUGUGGGUUUCCUUCCUUGGGAUCCGUGCCGUAGCUAACGCAUUAAGUACCCCGCCUGGGGAGUACGGCCGCAAGGCUAAAACUCAAAGGAAUUGACGGGGGGCCCGCACAA
rnacentral:rRNA from 1 species